rnacentral:rRNA from 1 species
AUACGGAGGGGGCUAGCGUUGUUCGGAAUUACUGGGCGUAAAGCGCGCGUAGGCGGUUUUCCAAGUUGGGGGUGAAAUCCCGAGGCUCAACCUCGGAACUGCCCUCAAAACUGGAUGACUAGAGUCCGGGAGAGGUUGGCGGAAUUCCUAGUGUAGAGGUGAAAUUCGUAGAUAUUAGGAAGAACACCAGUGGCGAAGGCGGCCAACUGGACCGGUACUGACGCUAAGGUGCGAAAGCGUGGGGAGCAAACAGGAUUAGAAACCCCAGUAGUCC